UUUAGAUUAUUCUUUAUAAUAAUCUUUUGUUCUAUUUUUAUGUUCUGUAAAGCUGCUUUGAGACAAUGUCAAUUGUAAAAAGCGCUUUACAAAUAAACUUGAAUUGAAUUGAAUUGAACUGAGAGCUUCUGAUUAAAAUCAGACUUUUACAAAGACAUAUGUGUUCAGACAUACCUUUCUGCUCAGUAUGGUUCCAAGGAAACAUUUUUUCCUAUACUGUAUAAGUCUUCCUAAUAAAAAUGACUGGUGUAUUUAUGUAUACAGGGUGUCCUACAGUAUAAAUACAUUUUAAUGGCUGUUUGCCAGUGAGUGAUGAAUUAAAUUGUUUAAUUAAAACAAAUUGAAAAACCUUUGAGCUUUGGUUACUAUGAAAAUGCGUGUUAUAGUGUGUGUAAAUCUGCAAUAUUAAGAUCUGGGCUUGAGUAAUUUUAUGCAUGGCAACUGACAGGGACUGGGAGAAUUCAGCCUUGCAGCCUCACACACAUUCCAUGGUAUACACCCUUAACAAAUUUGACCAUUGUCCACCUUCUGUAAUGUACACUCACUGACCAAUUUAUUAGAAACAUCUGCUCAUUUAUGCAAAUAUAUAAUAUCCACUCAUGUGGCAGCAGUGCACUGUAUAAAAGCAUGCUGAUAAAGGUGAAGAGCUUCAGUUACUGUUAGCACCUUGCUGUUCACAUCAGACAUCACAAUAGAGACAAAUGGGAUGCUUUGGGUGAAUAGACAAAUGAAAGGUGACCCACACACAAUCCUAUAAUUUUAAAUUAAAUCACGUCAUUUCUUUAGUCCACAAAUGAAAUUUUGCCAUUGUCCUUUGAAUUAAAAAAAAAGCUUAUUUCUACUCCAUUCAUGGAGUAGAAAUAAGCUUUUUUUUAUUUAUUCAAAGGACAAUCGCAAAAUUUACAUCGUUACAGCUUCUAGUUUAUAUGAAGUUAAUUCUGCGAGCAGCUAGUGCUAUGAUUUAUAGGGACUGAAGUGACCCUCAGAUAAUGAUAAACUAAUACUUUUAGCUGUUUUUCAUAGUAUGUUUUUUUUUUAAAGUACAUUUUUUAUAGCAUUCUAAUAUUUCUCUUCUGUUUCCAUUUUGUAGGUAAUAAUCAUAUGUAAGGUAUGCAAAUGGCAUGCAACUCAUGAGAGAGAGGACCCUUGGAAUUAGCCCACCAGACUGGCCAAACAACUAAAAGAGAUCCAUAGGGAAUGGCUUAACCACUUGGCAUACUACAUGGAGUAGUGCGCUGCCUUUACUGAUCACUCUAGCCUCUUACCUGUUACUGUUCAGGAACCACCAUUACCCACUGAGGUGCCUACAGUACCACCAAGUGGCUGUUGAGCGUUUAUGGGAAGGCCAUCAUGGAUCAUAUUUAGGCCAACAUUACCUCAAAGAUUGGGAGCAUUUUAAGAAUGGAUUCAACAAAAAAGAGAGAUCCUCAUCAGUGUCAUCACUGCCCAAGAAGGGCCUGGACUCCAUGGUGUCAGGUUUGAUCAGCAGGUAACAGCCAGCAGGGGUUGCUCUUCUGGUGCUGCUGUAUGUGGAUUCUGGACAGAAUGUGGAUUCUGGAUCAGUCUGGAUGUGAUGUGGCACACACAGUUCAAGUUAAAUAAAGACACAAUACAGUUGGGAAAGUUCUUUAUUUAGUUUGUUUUACUUUUGAAGCAGUCACAUGAAAGGUGCACAUUCCAUGCUGACUGCUAGUAACAUCCAAAUUAAGGUGAAAUCAAGAAAUGUUUGUAUUAAUGUGAAUGUUUGUCUUACCGAUUCAGGAAAGGCCUAAAAGGGAGUGGCCCGCGAACAGGAAGCCAGUGUUAUAGCAUCCUGAAGGGGAGGAGUCAUCUGAUCAAACAGGCAAGGAUUAUAAAUGUAUUGUAUGUAGAGAUUUCAGUGAUUUGUUAAAGGAUAAUGCCUUUGAUUACAGGUAGACUUUAUUUUGGGUGUGACUUGUAAAGUGAUAAGAUCUAGAAAUAUAGUGUUGCUAACAAAUGGAGUGUUAUGAUUGGUCCGUUUGAAUCUGAAGGGAGGGGACCAGGAUGAUUAAAGGACAAAGGAAAUGCUGCAGAGAGAGAGAGGGAUGUUGGUUGGAACAGUAGCCAACAAUUUAGUUAUUCCCUUUUGUGUUUUGUUAAGUGUUGAGUUGUACUUUGAAUAGUUUUUUUUUUAUUUGUUCAUUUUUUGGUAAAUUUUGAUUUUUCAAUGGAGAUUUUGCUUUGGCUUCUUUCACACCUGUCUGAGAAUGGUGGCUCACAUAAAUAAAAAGACACUUCAUUGGAUUUUUCCAGAGUUUUGCCAUUUCUUUUGCUGCCAGUUAGCCACUGCACCGACCAUCCUACCACACUGGACAUCUGGCACUUUUUGCUGCAACUGGAAACAGGGUGCACUAGUGUCGGCAUGCAUCUUUGAGUAGGACCGGUAGGACACUGCUCUUUUGUGUCGGACAGAGUGCAUAUAGAGGAGGAAAAGACCUGCAAAGGAAACACUUCAAACACCCUGAAUUUUCAUCUGUAUCUCCUGGAAUGCCUGUGCAGGUGGAAGCAGGACUGGGAAUCAGCUUCCAUCCUCCCUCCUUACCGACGCAAGAGGAGGUGGUUCCCUGUUUUAACACAAACAGUCUGA